UGGUUCUUUCUUUGUUAAGUUGAAACAGGGUUUCCGAGAGAAAGAGUCGUCAUUUUUAUUUGUUUGGGAUUUUGAUGUUAGCUUAAUUAGCUUGAUUGCUACUUGUUAGGCAUUUUUAGAAUUUGUUAUGGGUUUUUGUUGGUUCGGUUUGGCGGUUCGUGAGCUUGCUAUUAUUCUUGACGAAGUUUGAUGCUGAAAGACUUGGAAACCAUGCUGUCCACCACGUCGAGAAGCUGAGUAACAUUCUGUGUGUUCAAUGGCUCCUUUUAAUAAAAUGAACUGAAGCCAUCCAAUCUAGGGCUUCCAUCCAAUCAUGCAGGCUGCAUGGAAGUCGCAUUUACCUUUGCUGUGUCCUGUGUCGAACAUCCUGAACACACACACCAUUUGAAGUUGACAAUCUUAUCCAGUUAAGAUUUUACAAUUAAAAUGUGAUUAAGCUUUGCAUUCAUUGGUUAGUUUUAACAUUUUGGGAUUUCGUCAAGUCAACAGCUAUUUCCUUCAGCCAUGUGUUCUGUUAUGGAUUUUUUAAAGGGGAGUUUGUUGUAAGCAAGAAAGGUAGAUACUGAAAGAGGUUCAUGUUUACAUAGCAGUGGUGUUGCUGUCCAAUGUGGAAUGUUGUUGCAGCCUAUGGUGGUGAAAGAUAUCUGCAUCAAGUUGCUGUUUCUUGUUCAUCUAAGGUGCUGGUUUUGUGCUACAGAAGUUACUUCCAGUAUUGUGUUUAAUUGCUAUUUGUGUCUAUGCAGUUUACCUUUUAUGUAUUGAGAAGGAACAAAAAAAAGUAAUAUGGGAAGGUUUAUGUCAAACAAAUAAUAAACAUGUCCGCGAUUGAGGAAUGAGGAGGAAGUUGGGGUGGGAUACUUGAUUAUCAUUUACUAAAAGAAGUGAGGUAUAUUUUUAAUGAAUAUGCACAGUACUUGGUGAUAAAAUCUGUUGUUAACCCAUAUAACCUUCUCCACUUACACAUAUAUUUCUCUAACCCCGACAUCAAAUCCCACAUUCAUUCCUCAACCCCCAGAAUCUCCAACAUCCCAUUGUCACAAUUGUUGUAUACCUAUAAUCAUAUUCAUACAUAAAUAAAUAAAAUGUCAUUGUGUAUAAAUUGUGUCAACUAUAUUUAUUCUGGAACACGAACAAAGUUAACAAUUCAUUAAACAAAG